rnacentral:rRNA from 1 species
CCUACGGGGUGCAGCAGUGAGGAAUAUUGGGCAAUGGGGGCAACUCUGACCCAGCCAUGCCGCGUGAGUGAAGAAGGUCUUCGGAUUGUAAAGCUCUUUCGGUCGUGACGAUGAUGACGGUAGCGUCUAAAGAAGCCCCGGCAAACUUCGUGCCAGCAGCCGCGGUAAUACGAAGGGUGCGAGCGUUGUUCGGAAUUACUGGGCGUAAAGGGAGUGUAGGCGGAUAUGUAAGAUAGCGGUGAAAUGCCGCGGCUCAACCCGGGAGCGGCCAUUAAGACUAUGUAUCUAGAGUGAAGGAGAGGAGAGCGGAAUACCCAGUGUAGCGGUGAAAUUCGUAGAUAUUGGGUGGAACACCAGUGGCGAAGGCGGCUAUCUGGGCAGUAACUGACGCUGAGGCUCGAAAGCAUGGGGAUCAAACAGGAUUAGAUACCCUGGUAGUC